UCCUGGUUAACCCAGGCAGUCUCAUUAGAGUUCCCACCUUAUAUGUUGGCAACUAAUGAUAAGGGUUGCGCUCGUUGCUGGACUUAACCAAACACCUCACGGCACGAGCUGACGACAGCCAUGCAGCACCUGUGCACCAGCCCCGAAGGGAAACGCCGUUUCUGGCGUCGUCUAGUGCAUGUCAAGCCUGGGUAAGGUUCUUCGCGUUGCAUCGAAUUAAACCACAUGCUCCACUGCUUGUGCGGGUCCCCGUCAAUUCUUUUGAGUUUCAGCCUUGCGACUGUACUUCCCAGGCGGUAUACUUAUCGCGUUAGCUACGGCACAAUCGGGGUUGAGUCCGAUUACACCAAGUAUACAUCGUUUACGGCAAGGACUAC
rnacentral:misc_RNA from 1 species